AGAGUUUGAUCCUGGCUCAGAACGAACGCUGGCGGCAUGCCUAACACAUGCAAGUCGAACGAGACCUUCGGGUCUAGUGGCGCACGGGUGCGUAACGCGUGGGAAUCUGCCCUUCGGUUCGGAACAACUCCGGGAAACUGGAGCUAAUACCGUAUACGUCCUUCGGGAGAAAGAUUUAUCGGUGAUGGAUGAGCCCGCGUUGGAUUAGCUAGUUGGUGGGGUAAUGGCCUACCAAGGCGACGAUCCAUAGCUGGUCUGAGAGGAUGAUCAGCCACACUGGGACUGAGACACGGCCCAAACUCCUACGGGAGGCAGC
rnacentral:rRNA from 1 species